rnacentral:rRNA from 1 species
UACAGAGGUGGCAAGCGUUGUCCGGAUUUAUUGGGUUUAAAGGGUGCGUAGGCGGCCCUGUAAGUCAGUGCUGAAAUAUCCCGGCUUAACCGGGAGGGUGGCAUUGAUACUGCGGGGCUAGAGUACAGAUGAGGUAGGCGGAAUUGACGGUGUAGCGGUGAAAUGCUUAGAUAUCGUCAAGAACACCUAUAGCGAAGGCAGCUUACUAGGCUGUAACUGACGCUGAGGCACGAAAGUGUGGGGAUCAAACAGG